AUCUGGUUGAUCCUGCCCAUAGCAUAUGCUUGUCUCAAAGAUUCAGCCAUACACGUCUCAGUACAUGCCGAUUAAUGAUAAGGCGAAACCGUAAAUGGCUCAUUAAAUCAGUCACGGUUCAUUGGAUCGUGACGCGUUACUUGGAUAACUGUGUCAUUUCUAGAGCUAAUACGUGCAGACGAGCUCCGACCGCCCCCUGGGGCGAGACGAGCGCUUUUAUUAGAUUCUUCCCAAGCCAGCAAUCUCCGAGGACGUGAAAGAAGCUGAAUAACUUGGCAGAUCGCAGGGGCGAGUCCCGGUGACGUAUCUUUCACCUAUCUAUCUGCGUACCUUAUCAACUGUCGACUUUAGGUGAUGCGCCUACCGUGGUCGCCACGGGUGACGGGGAAUCAGGGUUCGAUUCCGGAGAGGGAGCCUGAGAAACGGCUACCACAUCUAAGGAAGGCAGCAGGCACGAAAAUUACCCAAUCCCGGCCCGGGGAGGUAGUGACGAAAAAUAAUGAUGCUGGACUCUUCGAGACCCAGUCAUCGGAAUUAGUACGCUCUAAACCCUCUAACGAGGACCUACUGGAGGGCAAGACUAAUGUCAGCCGCUGCGGUAAUUUUAGCUCCAGUGGCGUAUACCAAAAUUGUUGCAAUUAAAAAACUCGUAGUUGGAUAUCUGAUCUGGGUAGGGGCCGCUCACGUGGUCAGCCAUGCGCACCCGGCAUUCUGCUUGCCACUGGGUCGGCCCCCGGUGGAUGGCGGUAAUCGCUUUGCAAAAAUUAGAGUGCUCAAAGCAUGCUGUAAAGGCUCGGAUAGUAAUGCACGGUACGAUGGAACAUGACUUCGGCUCUGGGGCGUUGGGGAUAGAUGGGGACCGGGAAGAAAAAAAGAACGAAAGGGGG